rnacentral:rRNA from 1 species
AUUGAACGCUGGCGGCAGGCCUAACACAUGCAAGUCGAACGGUAACAGGAAGAAGCUUGCUUCUUUGCUGACGAGUGGCGGACGGGUGAGUAAUGUCUGGGAAACUGCCUGAUGGAGGGGGAUAACUCCUGGAAACGGUAGCUAAUACCGCAUAACGUCGCAACACCAAAGAGGAGGACCUUCGGGCCUCUUGCCAUCGGAUGUGCCCAGAUGGGAUUAGCUAGUAGGUGGGGUAACGGCUCACCUAGGCGACGAUCCCUAGCUGGUCUGAGAGGAUGACCAGCCACACUGGAACUGAGACACGGUCCAGACUCCUACGGGAGGCAGCAGUGGGGAAUAUUGCACAAUGGGCGCAAGCCUGAUGCAGCCAUGCCGCGUGUAUGAAGAAGGCCUUCGGGUUGUAAAGUACUUUUAGCGGGGAGGAAGGGAGUAAAGUUAAUACCUUUGCUCAUUGACGUUACCCGAAGAAGAAGCACCGGCUAACUCCGUG